rnacentral:rRNA from 1 species
GACGGAGGAUGCAAGCGUUAUCCGGAAUGAUUGGGCGUAAAGCGUCCGCAGGUGGCAGUUCAAGUCUGCUGUCAAAGACCGGGGCUUAACUUCGGAAAGGCAGUGGAAACUGAACAGCUAGAGUAUGGUAGGGGCAGAGGGAAUUCCUGGUGUAGCGGUGAAAUGCGUAGAGAUCAGGAAGAACAUCGGUGGCGAAGGCGCUCUGCUGGACCAUAACUGACACUCAGGGACGAAAGCUAGGGGAGUGAAUGGG